rnacentral:tRNA from 1 species
GGGUUGCUAACUCAACGGUAGAGUACUCGGAUUUUAAUAGUUAUUGAGAUUUGUUGACACGAAUAUAUAAAU